rnacentral:rRNA from 1 species
GGGGGGGGCAAGCGUUGUUCGGAAUUACUGGGCGUAAAGGGCUCGUAGGCGGCCAACUAAGUCAGACGUGAAAUCCCUCGGCUUAACCGGGGAAUUGCGUCUGAUACUGGAUGGCUUGAGUUUGGGAGAGGGAUGCGGAAUUCCAGGUGUAGCGGUGAAAUGCGUAGAUAUCUGGAGGAACACCGGUGGCGAAGGCGGCAUCCUGGACCAACACUGACGCUGAGGAGCGAAAGCCAGGGGAGCAAACGGGAUUAGAUACCCCGGUAGUCCUGGCCCUAAACGAUGAAUGCUUGGUGUGACGGGUAUCGAUCCCUGUCGUGCCGAAGCUAACGCAUUAAGCAUUCCGCCUGGGGAGUACGGUCGCAAGGCUGAA